GAUGAACGCUGGCGGCGUGCCUAAUACAUGCAAGUCGAGCGAACGGACGAGAAGCUUGCUUCUCUGAUGUUAGCGGCGGACGGGUGAGUAACACGUGGAUAACCUACCUAUAAGACUGGGAUAACUUCGGGAAACCGGAGCUAAUACCGGAUAAUAUUUUGAACCGCAUGGUUCAAAAGUGACAGACGGUCUUGCUGUCACUUAUAGAUGGAUCCGCGCUGCAUUAGCUAGUUGGUAAGGUAACGGCUUACCAAGGCAACGAUGCAUAGCCGACCUGAGAGGGUGAUCGGCCACACUGGAACUGAGGCGCGGUCCAGACUCCUACGGGAGGCAGCAGUAGGGAAUCUUCCGCAAUGGGCGAAAGCCUGACGGAGCAACGCCGCGUGAGUGAUGAAGGUCUUCGGAUCGUAAAACUCUGUUAUUAGGGAAGAACAUAUGUGUAAGUAACUGUGCACAUCGUGACGGUACCUAAUCAGAAAGCCACGGCUAACUACGUG
rnacentral:rRNA from 1 species